GACGAACGCUGGCGGCGUGCCUAACACAUGCAAGUCGAGCGGGAACCUCAGGAGGGGUAACCCUUCUGAGGGGAGAGCGGCGAACGGGUGAGUAACACGUGGGCAACCUGCCCCGGACACCGGGAUAACCCAGGGAAACCUGAGCUAAUACCGGAUACUCCGGCGCGAUCGCAUGGUCGUGCCGGGAAAGCUCCGACGGUCCGGGAUGGGCCCGCGGCCUAUCAGCUUGUUGGUGGGGUAACGGCCCACCAAGGCGACGACGGGUAGCUGGUCUGAGAGGACGGCCAGCCACACUGGGACUGAGACACGGCCCAGACUCCUACGGGAGGCAGCAGUGGGGGAUCUUGCGCUAAUGCGCGAAAGCGUGACGCAGCGACGCCGCGUGGGGAUGAAGGCCUUCGGUU
rnacentral:rRNA from 1 species